GUGAAGGUAUGUCCCCAAAUUUCUGCAAAAUAUCUGCUUUCGAGUCACAACUUCAAAGCUUCGCAUACAACUCAAUUUGGAUCCAUAAUUCACCAAAUGGCUACCGAAAUGACCGUAAUCGAGUUAGAUUUCCACAGAAUCAAUCCCCACUAAAUUUGGAGUUACAGAGAGAGAUUAAUUACCGUUUUAGUGAAGGUCUGUCCAAUUACUAAUUCUGCAGAAAUCUACUUGUGAUCUUCAAAUUCAACAUCUUCUACCGAACACAUUGUAACUCCAAAUUCGACGAAAUUGAAAUGCCAACAAGGGUAAUUUCGUUAGAUUUUCAUACAUGUAAAUAGUAUUAAAAAAUGAGCUACAGGGUGAGAGGAAUGACGAGAAUACCAGUAGUAGUUUCAUACGAUAAUUAAUUUGAACAGACCCUCACUAAAACAGUAAUUAAUCUCUCUUUGUAACUCCAAAUUUAGUGGAGUUUGAUUCUGUGGAAAACUAACUCGAUUGCGGUCGUUUCGGUGCCAGUUUGGUGAAUUAUUGAUCCAAAUUGAGUUCUGUGCG
rnacentral:lncRNA from 1 species